UGACCUGCCCUCCACUCUGGGAUAAGCCUGGGAAACUGGGUCUAAUACCGGAUAGGACCAUUGAUCGCAUGGUUGGUGGUGGAAAGUUUUUUCGGUGGGGGAUGGGCCCGCGGCCUAUCAGCUUGUUGGUGGGGUGAUGGCCUACCAAGGCGGUGACGGGUAGCCGGCCUGAGAGGGCGACCGGCCACACUGGGACUGAGACACGGCCCAGACUCCUACGGGAGGCAGCAGUGGGGAAUAUUGCGCAAUGGGCGGAAGCCUGACGCAGCGACGCCGCGUGGGGGAUGACGGCCUUCGGGUUGUAAACCUCUUUCGCCAGGGACGAAGAGCAAUUGACGGUACCUGGAGAAGAAGCACCGGCCAACUACGUGCCAGCAGCCGCGGUAACACGUAGGGUGCGAGCGUUGUCCGGAAUUAUUGGGCGUAAAGAGCUCGUAGGCGGUGUGUCGCGUCGGCCGUGAAAACUUGGGGCUUAACUCUGAGCGUGCGGUCGAUACGGGCAUCACUUGAGUUCGGCAGGGGAGACUGGAAUUCCUGGUGUAGCGGUGAAAUGCGCAGAUAUCAGGAGGAACACCGGUGGCGAAGGCGGGUCUCUGGGCCGAUACUGACGCUGAGGAGCGAAAGCGUGGGGAGCGAACA
rnacentral:rRNA from 1 species